GUAAAAAUAAGAAAUUAUCGAAUAGACUCGUUCAAACGAGAGCUGCUGUGUGGCAGCAA
rnacentral:sRNA from 12 species